rnacentral:rRNA from 1 species
UACGGGGGGAGCAAGCGUUGUUCGGAUUUACUGGGCGUAAAGGGCGCGUAGGCGGCCACCGCAAGUCGACUGUGAAAUCUCCGGGCUUAACCCGGAAAGGUCAGCCGAUACUGCGGGCUAGAGUGCAGAAGGGCAACUGGAAUUCUCGGUGUAGCGGUGAAAUGCGUAGAUAUCGAGAGGAACACCUGCGGCGAAGGCGGGUUGCUGGGCUGACACUGACGCUGAAGCGCGAAAGCUAGGGAGCGAACGGG